UUAAUUUGUGUGUCAAGUAAUUUUUCGCAUCAAGCAACAUCAAAUAGCAUGCAAUUAACAAUUAAAGGCGGAAACAUGCUUGCAUGCACUCAAAAACAAAACAUUACCCAUGAAAUUCAAAGCCUAGUAGAUUGGUGAACCAAGACUCAACUCAAAACAAAGUGAGUUGAAAUUUAUACCUUUAUAGAUUCCUCUUUGCAUAAGCAAAGGCUAAUCACCCAAAGAGAGGGCCUUCAUUCCUUGCUUCUUAGAUCCAUGGAUUUGGAUCGAAGAAUAUGGUUAUCCAAGUUUCCAAAAUUGAGAACCUCUAAGUGUCUACACCAAGGUUAGAUUGGAGAAGAAAUGAGUGACCUUGGAGGAGUGGGAUUGCUAGCUAAUCCCUCCAAAGGGGCCGGCCUCUUUAGAGAGAAAGGAGAGCUUUGUGUUCUCUCCAAUUUCCUAAACGAAACCCUUAAUGAAUUUUAGGCUAUAAAGUUCUUU
rnacentral:lncRNA from 1 species